UAUAACCUUCUCUAAUCCUUUGGAUAACACUACAAUAAAAACGUGUAUUACCGAAGGCUUAUAACCGACGGCCUUUAGGCCUUCGGUAAUGUAUUGGUGAAAUUAAAUACCGAGGGUUUUUUUCCUUCGGUAAUGCCAGCGAUGCCUCAUCAUAUGCGAACCACAUCUUCGUCCCGCCAUUCUCGAGAGAUCCACCCGCACACAUCUCUUUUUCUCUCGAACCUCCGCUUGUCUCCGAUCCAUAUUUCAAGCUCUUCCGCCUCAGAUCUUUAUCUGCCAUCCACGGUUAGUCUCUAGAUCUUCAUUCUCCCGUACAUCUCUCCCUUACCUUAGCCUAAUCCACCAUAAAAUCCACUUUUCACCGAGUAAACCUAUCCUCACCGUUCUAACUUCACUUUUGCCCAAUUAAAACCUCUUUUCGUUUCAUUCCAUCGAUUCAAUCGUGGAAUCCUUUCUCUCCACCGAUCAAAAUGUCCCAAAUCCCCAACCCUAGAAUCUACACCGAUCAAACCACUCAAUCUAGGGUUUGCCUUCGUUGUCUGUCAUCCGCUGCUCUUCUUCUUCAAUUAGCUCGACCUGUGUCAGUUCCAUGGUUCCUCGUCGAUCUGCCUCGACCUAGAGCUAUCAAGUGGUAUUCAAAGCAUAGGUUAGGCGCGUGUGCACGGAGCUAAGUAUUUUCUUUGCCUUUCCAUGUUGUCUUUGAUUAAUUAUCUUGAUUUGUUUUGGUCUUGUAUUGAAACUUUAGCCGAUUGAAAAAUACAAUUUUUUUUUCUGUUGUGCUCAUGUGAAAAGAAUUAUUUUUAGUGCAGUUUAUCAUCUUGGUUUCUUUAUUUUUCUUGUGUUUUGGCCGAUGAAUUUCCUGUAUGAAAUAAAAAGAAAAUUGUUGGCUUUAUUUGCUUCUUUCAAACAUGAUUUUUGUGCUAAAGUUAGUAAGAAAAAAUGUUUUAAUCUCUUUGAUUUGGAAAAUUAUUCUAAAUUUUGAAUUGGUUCAUAUCUUUCGAUGGCAAGGAUGCUUAUUAUGGAUUAUGGUUCCCACUGUACUACAAUAAUCAUCAGUAUAAAUCAUAUCUCAUUGUUCAUUUUACAUUUGUUUUAUUAACAACUUGCUUAUUAUUGAUAAUUUUUAUUGUGUCUAAUAGAACUAAUUCUAGUUGUAUAUUGCACCUUCAGUAGAUGUAGAUGAAGGGACAACAAAGUUUUCAGAAGGUGAAGAAUGUGUGAGUAAGAAGAAGAUGGUGAAGGUGAAGAAGAUGCAAAAGAAAGGGGAAGUGGGAGGGUUUGUUGUGUGACAGAAGAAGCCAUAACUGUGGUGUUUGAAGUUGGUUGUUUCUGGGUACAAAAUCAGAGUCGAGUGAUGGGAAAGUGGCAUGGAGGCAAACACCUUGGCACCAUUCUCAUGCUUCUCGUGACCACCAAGACCACUUAAGCGUUUACUUAAGGUCGUGGCUGCGGCAAGGGCGGAUAUCGCGAAAGGGGUUGUGGCUUUAGAUCAAAUGGACCAAUCCAAGCAGCUGCAUGAGGCAACUAGUUGGCUGGCAUGAGUGCAGUGUAGAUGACUUGAUUAGGGAAGCAAAGCCAUGUCUAAUUUUAUGUAUUCUUUUUUUUGUUCAAUUUUCUUCAUUUCUCCCCUUCUUUUUCUCUAGGGCCUGAAGAACUGUAGGGCAUUUUCUUCUUACAGUUUUAGUAGAUGUUUAGUUUUGAGA
rnacentral:sRNA from 1 species